rnacentral:rRNA from 1 species
GGCCUACGGGAGGCAGCAGUGGGGAAUAUUGCACAAUGGGGGGAACCCUGAUGCAGCAAUGCCGCGUGAAGGAUGAAGGUUUUCGGAUUGUAAACUUCUUUUGUACGGGACGAAGAAAGUGACGGUACCGUAAGAAUAAGCCACGGCUAACUACGUGCCAGCAGCCGCGGUAAUACGUAGGUGGCAAGCGUUAUCCGGAUUUACUGGGUGUAAAGGGCGUGUAGGCGGGAGUGCGAGUCAGAUGUGAAAACUAUGGGCUCAACCCAUAGCCUGCAUUUGAAAAUGUAAUUCUUGAGUGGUGGAGG